GUGUUAGGCUUGGGACCAGGGUAGCCGCGCCAUGCCCAUGCUCCUGGCCCUGGUGGUCGCCGCCGUCUGACUCAGUCCGCAUGAGCACGAGCUGCAUCUCCUUCUCCUGGUCGCCGUCCUCGCGCAAGCUAUGGUCCUCAUCCCCAAGAUCCAUGGCGUCCGAGCGGCUGAAGCGCUGGCGACGGCGAGGCAGCGAGUAGCUGGACGCAAUGGCGGCGGUGACUAGGGAUGCCCGAGGAGGCGAGGAGCCGAGAUGAGAUCAGGAGGAGACGAGAAGGAUAUCAAUCUCCGUCUCUCAGAAUAUGGGACGUGAUCUCUAUUCAUUAUUCACCAAAGCCAAAUCACCCAAAUCACGCAGAUUCCUUUUAUGUUCUAUCAUUCCAUGUACGUGUGUAUGUGGGCUACAUGUAUCUCGUGGACUACAUAGACUGAUUUUGUGGGAAGUUAGAUUAGAUAUAUGAGUAGUGAAGGCCCACUUAACAGAUUUUACGCGGGUAUAUGGGUACACGGGUAUGGGUUAUGCUAUCCCAUACCCGUACCCACUCUGCCCGAUGGGUUUAAUAUUUUUCUAUUUAUAUACCCAUAGGUAAUUUUUUAUCUCAUACCCUUACCCUAAUAGGGUUUUGACCCGCCGGGUACGCGGAUAAUGGGUACCCAUUGCCAUCUCUAGGUGAUUGUGAUAUUGAACCAAAUUUCUUGGUGAUUUAUGAGAUUUUAGUUGAAUUUGGUUAGGUGAUUGUGUCUUCAAAAGAUAGUCAAAGAUGUUCGACGGUUAUGAUAUUUUAGGUCUAGUAGAUGAGCAUGGUAACUAUUAUAUUGGUGGAUAAACAGAUAUUUAAUAUAGUUUGGAACAAUUUGGAUUUAGUUAGGUGAUUGUGAUUUUAACCAAAAUUUAGGGUGAAUUAUGAGGUUUUGAUUAGAUUUAGUUAGGUGAUUGGGAUCUUGAUGAGGUAGUAAAAGAUGUUUGGUAGAUUAUGUGAAUUUAGGUCUAAUAGGUGAGCAUCUUGACUUAUAUUGGUGGAUAAUUUUUUUUUACAAACUUGGAAAAAUUUGGAUUUAGUUAGACGAUUGUGAUCUUGAACCAAUUUUAUGGUGGAUUAUGAGAUUUUUGAUGGAUUAGUUAGUUGAUUGUGAUCUUGAGAAGAUAGUCAAAGAUAUUCGAUGUAUUAAUUAACUUGAACAAUUUAGAUUUAGUUAGGUGAUUGUGAUAUUGAACUAAAUUUCUCUGUUAUGAGAUUUUAGUUGGAUUUAGUUAGGUGAUUGUGUCUUCAGAAGAUAAUCAAAGAUGUUUGAUGGGUUAUGAGAUUUUAGGUCUAAUAAAUGAGCAUGGUGAUUAUUAUAUUGAUAGAUAAACAAAUAUUGAAUUAGUUUGAAACAAUUUGGAUUUAGUUCGGUGAUGAUGAUCUUUUAACCUAAUUUUUACGGUGGAUUAUAAGGUUUUGGUUGGAUUUAGUUAGGUGAUUGUGAUUUUGAUGAGCUAGUAAAAGAUGUUCGGUGGAUUAUGUGAAUUUAGGUCUAGUAGGUGAGCAUGUUGAUUAUUAUAUUGGUGGGUAGAAAUAAGGGCCACACGAGUGACUCAAGGCGAUGAUGCCACUACUGAUGAAAAUAACUGGUAAACACGGCAAGAGAGGCGGAGAGACUGGGGGUGAUGGCAACAGAUGGACUUUGAUCCAACAUCCCACUUGCCAGUGCGCUCCGUUCCCUGCUGAUCCGGCUUGGUGUCCUUGUCCUGUUUGUGGAUUUGUGUCACGUACUUGAUUAAGCAUCCCACGUUCUCCUAAUGUGCGCCCUUGGUCUUGAUGAUAGGUAGCGCCGUGUUCUCGGGCGCGUCCCGUGGGUAAAAUUCAGGUAUGUGUCGAUUGUCUGAGCUCUUGCUCGCCAUUGUGCCGCCCAACAAGGGAACACGGGAUGUGGGAUCAAGACAACACACAUAGCAACCCGCCACCAGGCAACGGACGUCCAUCUGGACUUACAGGGAGCGGAGAUGGACACAAAGGGGGAUGUUGAGCUCCAUAGUAGUCUCAUUAGUGUGCUCAUCAGUAAGAGCAGCACAAGCAAGAAGAUCCUGGAUAUACUCCUCAUAGAAAAUAAAGAAGCCAUUGAAGGUAGAAGAAACCUCAAUCUCAAGGAAGUAGUAACUUUAGUAAAUAUGGAGCAAUUUGAAUUUACUUAGGCGAGUGUGAUCCUGAACAAAUUUUUUGGUGAAUUAUAAGAUUUUUCAAUGGAUUUAGUUGAUUGUGAUCUUGAGGAGAUAGUCAAAGAUGUUCGGUGUAUUAAUUAAUCUUAAAGAAUAUGGAUUUCGUUAGGUGAUUGUGUCUUGAGAUGAUAAUCAAAGAUGUUUCGUGGAUCAUGAGAUUUUAGGUCUAGUAGAUGAGCAUGAUGAUUAUUAUAUAGUUAGGUGAAUGUGAUUUUGACGAGCUAGUAAAAGAUGUUCGGUGAAUUGUUGUGAAUUUAGGUCUAGUAGGUGAGUAUAUUGAUUAUUAUAUUGAUGGAUAAAUAAAUCUUUAAUAAAUUUGAAACAAUUUGAAUUUAGUUAGAUGAUUGUGACCUUGAACCAAAUUUCAUGGUUGGUUAUGAGAUUUUUGAUGGAUUAGUUAGUUGAUUGUGAUCUUCAAGGAAUAGUCAAAGGUGUUUUGUGGAUUAAUUAAUCUUGAACAAUUUGGAUUUAGUUAAGUGGUUGCGAUAUUAAACCGAAUUUCACGCUGGAUUAUCAGAUUGUAGGUGGAUUUAGUUAGAUGAUUGUGUCUUGAGAAUAUUAUCAUAGAUGUUUGCUAGUCUAUGAGAUUUUAGGUUUAAUAGAUGGGAAUGGUGAUUAUUAUAUUGGUAGAUAAACAAAUCUUUAAUUUAGUUUGGAACAAUUUUGACUCAGUUAGGUGAUUGUUAUUUUUCAACCAAAUUUACGGUGGAUUUUGAGAUAUUUUUGGAUUUAGUUAGGUGACUGAUCUUGACAAGAUACUCGAAUAUUUUUGGUGAAUUAUGUUAAUUUAGGUCUAGUAAGUGAGCAUGGUGGUAAUUAUAUUGGUGGAUAGAUGGAUCUUCAGUAAAAAUGAAGCAAUUUGGAUGUAAUUAGGCGAUUGUGAUCUUGAACAAAUUUCACGGUGGAUUAUGAGAUUUUCAAUAGAUCUAGUUAGUAGAUUGUGAUUUUGGGGGAUGUCAAAGAUGUUUGGUGGACUAAUUAAUCUUGAACAGUUUUGAUUUAGUUAGGUGAUUGCGAUAUUGAACCAAAUUUCUCCGUGAUUUAUGAUAUCUUAGUUGGAUUUAGUUAGAUGAUUGUGUCUUUAGAAGAUAGUCAAGGAUGUUUGGUGGAUUAUGAGAUUUCAGGUCUAGUAGAUGAGCAUGGCGAUUAUUAUAUUGGUGAAUAAACAAAUAUUUAAUUUAGUUUGGGACAAUUUAGAUUUAGUUAGGUGAUUGUGAUAUUGAACCAAAUUUCUCUGUGAUUUAUGAGAUUUUAGUUGGAUUUAGUUAGGUGAUUGUGUUUUGAGAAGAUAGUCAAAGAUGUUUGCUAGAUUAUGAGAUUUAGGUCUAAUAGAUGAGCAUGGUGAUUAUUAUACUGGUGGAUAAACAGAUAAACUGAUAUUUAAUUUAGUUUGGAAUUUGGAUUUAGUUAGAUGAUUGUAAUCCUUUAACUUAAUUUUGGUGGAUUAUAAGGUUUUGGUUGGAUUUAGUUAGGUGAUUGUGAUUUUGACGAGCUAGUAAAAGAUUUUUGGUGGAUUAUGUGAAUUUAGGUCUAGUAGGUGAGCAUGUUGAUUAUUAUAUUGGUGGAUAAAUGGGUCUUUAGUAAACAUGGAGCAAUUUGGAUUUAGUUAGGCGAUUGUGAUCUAGUACAAAUUUCAUGGUGGAGAUUUGCAAUGGAUUUAGUUGAUUGUGAUCUUGAGAAGAUAGUCAGAGAUGUUCGGUGAAUAAAUUGAUCUUCAACAAUUUGAAUAUAUUUAGGUGAUUGUGAUAUUGAACCAAAAUUUUCUAUGAUUUUAGUUGGAUUUAAUUAGGUGAUUGUGUCUUGAGAUGAUAAUCAAAUAUGUUUGCUGGAUUAUGAGAUUUUAGGUCUAGUGGAUGAGCAUGGUGAUUACUAUAUUGAUGGAUAAGCAUAUAUUUAAUAUAGUUUGGAACAAUUUGGAUUUAGUUAGGUGAUUGAGAUCUUGACGAGCUAGUAAAAUAUGUUCGGUGGAUUAUGCGAAUUUAGGUCUAGUAGGUGCCUAUGUUGGUUAUUAUAUUGGUGGAUAAAUAUUUUUUUAAUAAACUUGGAAAAGUUUGGAUUUAGUUAGGCGAUUGUGAUUUUGAACCAAAUUUUAUGGUGGAUUAUGAGGAUUUUGAUGGAUUAGUUAGUUCAUUGUAAUCUUGAGGAGAUAGUCAAAGAUGUUCGGUGUAUUAAUUAAUCUUGAACAAUUUGCAUUUAGUUAGGUGAUUGUGAUAUUGAACCAAAUUUCUUCGCGAUUUAUGAGAUUUUAGUUGUGUUUAUUUAGGUGAUUGUGUUUUGAGAAGAUAGUUAAAGAUGUUUGGUGGAUUAUGAGAUUUUAGGUCUAAUAGAUGUGCAUGAUGAUUAUUAUAUUGGUGGAUAAGUGAAUCUUUAAUAAAUUUGGAUAAUUUGGAUUUAGUUAUCCGAAUUUGGUCUUGAAUCAAAUUUUAUGGUGGAUUAUGAGAGUUAGUUUGGCGCGCUCCGCUUCUUCCUCGAGGAGCAUGUGCAGUGCGAUGGUGCGGGGGCUCAUGCGCAAUGGCGAGUCCACGCAUCUCCUGCGCCCCGGAACCCUCUCCUUCCCAGCAUAGCAGGAGCAGGAGCAAGGAUGCCGAGGCGGUUCAGUCGCGAGGAAGAGUAUCAGGCAGAGAGGGUUUCACAACACUGACAAGUCUUUGCUUUCCAGGAUUGCCAUGUCUGUUGGCUACUGCAGGGAGCUAUGGAUGGUGGUCUUGAUCUUCCGCACAGUGACAAGAGAUUUGCUGGCUUCAUGAAGGAUAAGAAGCAGCUGGGCGCGGGCGCUGAGAUUCACCUCAAAUACAUCUAUGAAGGUCAUGUUGCUGACUACAUGAAGUCAAUAGCUGAUGAGAAACCUAAGAAGUACCAAUCUCACUUCAGUGAGUACAUCAAGAAGAACUGAAGAAGAUCAAUGGUUACAGAUGCCACAAGGCUUGCCUAAUAAAGGUUCCCAGAGAAGGAAUGGUUUGACAAAAAAAGGCUUUGCUCUCCAAGUGCAGAACACUUUCCCACUCCCCAUCGAUGACGAUCUUCCUGUAUGAGCAUUUUCAUCUGUGCUCCCUAUUUUCCUUGCUCCACUAAGAAUGAAGCCAUUAACAGUUGGCUGUAAUUGCGGGAUAGCUCUUUUAGCACCACAAAAGUUAUUCGGAAAGGUUUCUUUAUGGUCUACUUUACAAGAGAAAACAUUUCUCUGGAAGGAGCUGCUGACAAGGCUUAACAACAAACUGGACGGAGUUCUUCACAUGGCAAACAUAGAUGAAGGAACGAUGUAUGCCUUCACCUUCAGACGCAA